GCACAAAUAGUAUCAAGACAUUCAUCCUGGAAGUGCUUUUGGUAUCAUUUAAUGCAAAUCUCUGGCUUUAUGGAGUGGAGAACCAGGACUCAGAAAGGCUCUGAUAAGAAUAAGCUGAGUUGGAGGAAGCUUAGUAGGUCUUACUCUUUUCUCGGCAAUUACCAUAUCCACGAUGUAAGAAAAUGUUUACAAGCCAUUGGGCUGCUUUCUUUGAAACUGAAAAGAUACAUGUUUGUCAAUUUCACAGAGACAUCUAAAAAAGGCUUUCCUGUCUAUUUAUUACAGAACCUUCUAUUGAGACACCUUUACAUGCUAGAAAUUGUCUUAGAUGCUAGGUUGUGAGCAGCAGAAAAGCAGAGCUAUCACCUCCAUCACCAUCACCAUCACCUCCAACCUUUUUUCCUGGGAGGGUCUUCUGCUACAUUGAGAGAACUCUUGUCCUACUUCCUUGGUAGCCCCUCGGGAUACCUCAGCGAUCCUUGCCCCUGGUGAUCACCCCCCUUGCGGCUCUGUGGCAGAAUCCAAAUUGGCUUUGAAUUUGAGGAUACAUUCCAGUCUCUACUUACCCUAGAGAAAUCUGUAAUUAGAGUUGUGUGACCCUAUGCCCAGUUUAUGAAACACCGGGGCUGGAACACCAGGACUCAUGAAUGCUAGCCGUAUAUUCUACAAAAUGAGCUGCUGCAGAGCCUGUUGGAAAUCCUCAUUUCCCACCUGUUGAAGGCGCUUACUGACGAGAAGGAUACUUGAGACGGGAACCCAGGCUUUCUGAAUAUGAAACUCCCUCUGAGCUACUCAGUAGUGCUACAGUAGUGCAGCACCAAGGCCACCUGUCACCAAUGACAAACCCAGGUGACCUCAUCCUGCACUGUGACUCCAGUGUUGGAUCCUCCUGAGUUAGUCACUAUUGAGUCCUCCUCUUGUCUCUGGUAUCUAUUUUCUCCAGGAAGUAGGCCACUGGAAAUGUGUGUGUCCCCCCCACCCCACUUCCUCUGCUUAGCGGUAAUUGCUGCUUUGCUACAUAACAAUAAAGAAACAGCUG